UCCGCCUUAUCGACGGCGGUCUCCCUAGAGUGCCCGGCAUAACCCGCUGGUAACUAGGGACGAGGGUUGCGCUCGUUGCGGGACUUAACCCAACACCUCACGACACGAGCUGACGACAGCCAUGCAGCACCUGUGCACGGACUCCGAAGAGGGGCCGAUGUUUCCACCGGCUUUCCCGUGCAUGUCAAGCCCAGGUAAGGUUCUUCGCGUUGCGUCGAAUUGAACCACAUGCUCCGCUGCUUGUGCGGGUCCCCGUCAAUUCCUUUGAGUUUUAGCCUUGCGGCCGUACUCCCCAGGCGGGGCACUUAAUGCGUUAGCUUUGGCACCGGAGGAGUCGACACCUCCGACACCUAGUGCCCAUCGUUUACAGCGUGGACUAC
rnacentral:misc_RNA from 1 species